CUGAGCUUCCUCUUUCACAGAGGUCAUGUGCUCAUCAGAUCAGUAUUAAUUACUGAGCAUCCUCUAUCACAGGAGGUUACUUGCUCAUUAAAUUGAUAUUGGUUACCGAGCUUCCCAUUUCGCAGAUGUCACGUGCUUGUCAAAUUGGUACUGAAAUCUUCAAAUAUUUACAAAACAAUAGAAAUAAAAAUAAAAUAAUGGUUUGAGCUUUUUCAACACUAA